GCAGCAUGUAUACAGAAGUUCCUGUGAAACCACUGGUGGUUUGUGUUGGAACAAAGCAGAGGCAAUGGAUUGUGUAACUUGUAUCCUAAGAAUUCAAACCAAUUUGAUAUUUUCUUCUACUUGUAACUUUACUUGGCGUGAAAUUUAGAUUCUAGUGAUAUUCUGUUGUCUCCAAUGCUUGAAUCAUCAAAUUAUUUCAACAGGUGUAAUUUGUUUAUUAGAUACUGUGGCUAAUCAUAAUUGACUCUUUAUUUUAUGAUAUUCAGCUCGAUAAUCUACCACGAGUGGAUGAAGUUAUUUAAGCAUCAUGAACAUCAAUUUGCAUAGUGAUGCAUUCAGUAUUCUGGGGGUACUUAGAUCAAAGAUGUAUUCAGGCCUUUUUUGUGUUUUUCAGCUUGCUGCAAAACAGUUCUGUACAAUCAUCUGGUGAUCAGCAAUGCAAUAACAUUUGGAUUUUAUUUUUUUUACAGGAACCACACUGUCAAAUACUGUCAUACCAACCUGUCAAAACUGCAGUUCCUUGUGAAAUGGACAGCUGAACACUCUGAAAUUGCAAGGAGGAGAGAAGUGUCACCUUUGAAAGAUAACCUUUCACCAUGGGAAGAAUGGUUCGUUAGCAAAGAGAAGGAGCUGCGUGCCCGCUUACGAGCUAGAGCUGCAGAGGUGAUUACAUCCAGUUAUUUUGCUUCUAAGUCUAAUAGAAGAUAGCAAACACAGGAUUUUCUUCUCCUUGGUUGUAGAAACAUGGGGAGUUGUUUUUUUCCUUUUUAUUUUAGUGUCUUAAGCCUCCAUAGUGUUUGUGUUUGUCAGUGCUGGCAUGAUUUAUGUUAUGUGCAUUUUCUUUUGCUGUGUGCUAUGCUUCACUGAACUGGUGCUGUAUAAUAUUUUGUUUAUCCAACUGUCAGGUAAUGCUUCGAUGUUAGAAGAUUAAAACAUUUAUUUAAUUACUGCCUUGAUUGUCAUCAUGGGUAUGUACUCCUGCAUGUUGGUUGUAGAAGAAAAUAGGGUGUGUGCUGAUUUGUAAGUAUGCCAAGCUACUUGAUUAGUUUUGAGGCACAGUGUUGUUAACCACUUAGCAUGUAAUUUUACAACUGUUUGGUGUCCUUUCCCAGGACAGGGAUCCCUGUACAGCAUUUUUUUUCCCCUCAUUCUAUCUUUUGCCCCCUUGCAGACGAACAGUUCUUGAGAACAAGGGCUAGGACACAAUUAAGUGAGAGCACUCUAUCUUUUCUUGAUUACUCUGUAGUUGCAGCUGGUUAAAUUAUACUGUUGUUGAAAAUCAAAUGGGAAGUAUUGGGUAGAGAUUAGAACAAUCACAUCAAACACAGAUAAUUUCUCACUUUAGUUACUGAUUAACUGUUUGACCUUGAAUGUUUUCCUAGCCUUUCUGUGAUUAUCUGUAAAGUGAAUAUAGCAUACAGCUGUUUUAUGUGGGCUACCUCAUGUUGUUUAUAAAACACCUACUACUGGAAGGUUCAGGAACAGAAUUUUACAGGUCAGCAGUACCCCAAAGUAGUUUGUUAAACUUGAGGAAUGUGCUUUGAUCUGUUAAUCCACAUCCACCAAAUGUUUCAUGACUUCUCAUUUAUAUUCUGGAUUGGAAAUGUAAGUGUAAGCUAGCAGAUGUCUCUCAACUUAGUAUUAAGAACAGUCAUAGAACAAGCAUUACUUAAAGCCAUGUAGAAAAUAGUCAUAUAGGUAAAUAUUUUUAGUUUGUAAGUUUUUGAGAACAUUAGAUUUUAAACUGCAGCAAGACAGUGUGAAAAGCUUAUAUUUGGGGGAAAAAUAAAAUCAACAUUUUUGUAAGAUGCCA
ensembl:lncRNA